rnacentral:ncRNA from 2 species
AAAUUAGAGUUGGAGCAGGCGACCUUAAUGACGUUUUAAGGUGCAGCCGGGCUGGGCUUCUGGCAACGGUACUUUGAGACCGCGGGACUAUG